UUAUCUUUUCCAGAUUUAACUUUGGUACCUUGUAUCUGUUUAGAAAAUUGUUCAUUCCUCCAGAUUUUCCAGCUUUUUGCUAUUAGAUUUUUGAUUUUUUUUUUAGUAUAGGCUUUUGUAAAAAUAUCUGAUAGUUUUUUUGAAUUUCCGCAGUUUCUGCUGUUAUGUCACCCUUUUCAUUUCUGAUUUUCUUAAUUUACAUAAUGUCCUUUGCUUUCUGGUUUGUUUGGCUAAGGUUUUUUUAUCUUAUUGAUUUUCCCAAAGAGCCAGUUCCUGGUAUUGCUGAUUCUCUAUAUACUUCUUUUUGUUUCUACUUGGUUGAUUUCAGCCUUGAGUUUGAGUUUAUUUCCUGUCUUCUACUCCUCUUCAGUGUAUUUGUUUCUUUUUGUUCUAGAGCUUUCAGAUUUGCUGUCAAGCUUCUAUUGUAUGCUUUCUCCAGGUUCAUUUUGGAGGCACGUGGAGCUAUGAGUUUUCCUCCCAGGAAUGCUUUUAUUGUGUCACAUAAGUUUGGGUACGUUGUGCCUUCAUUAUCAUUACGUGCUAAAAGGUCUUUAAUUUCUUUCUUUAUUUCUUCUUUGAUCCAGUUAUCAUUGAGUAGAGUGUUGUUCAGCUUCCUCAUGUACUUUGUGGGCUUUC
rnacentral:lncRNA from 1 species